UUUUUUUUGUUUUUGUUUUUAUCUAUUUGCAUUUCUGUUUUAAAACAUUUUAAAUUAUUUAGACAUUUUAUAAAAAUGUGUUUGCUCCACCGUAAUUACCUUUGUAAUAUUUGGCAACCACCGAACAUUUUUGUUUCAAUUUUUGAAAACUUUUAUUGCCGACAUUAAUUUUAAAUUUGAAUUUGACGCGGUUUGGACUAAGGGACGUUUAGCAACAGUAAUCAGGAUGACGUGGCAUGAUUAGCGUGGGAUUACUGUAGCAAGAUUAUCUGGGCGUUACAAGUUGAUUAGCUCCUGGAUCUGUGGGGCAUACCCACAACUUCUCUUCUGAUCUGAAGCUGUUCUCUUUAUGGUUUCCACAAUUAGGCUCAUGACUUUGAUCUUUUGAGGCACAUCAAAUAUGUGGAGCAGGUUAAUUGCAUGGCCUUUGAUCAUCUUGUGAUCACCUGACUUUGGCAAAAGAGUGUGCCUGAGGAUCCAGUUGAUUGUUGGCAAACCUGACAGAAGGUAAUGUACUAAUCCAAACUUGUGUGUCUCAAGAGCAGCAUCUCGGAUCUCUUUGUACAUGUGUGCCAUGGUGUUGUGAUCCUUCUUCUUCUUGGCAUAGACAUCCAAGUCAUCUUCAUUCUCCUCGGGAGCAUUGAUCAAUUUUGCCCAUUCUUCAACCGUUGACUGGUACCUAGUACCUUCAGACAUCCAGACAAUCCUUCCAUCUGGGUAGAAAUGAGUUGUGGAGUAGAACUGCAUAAUAAGCUCAUCAUUCCACUUUGUGAGCUUCUGAACCACAAACUCAUCGACUCCACAUGACUUGAAGCUGUCAUGUACACCAGGGAAGUGAUCUUCAUUUUCCUUAAUGAAUUUCCAAUCAACCCAUCUCAUGUCACACACUAUGGGCUUCUUGUCAAGUAAAAUAGUCUCAUAGAACUCCUGUUGUUCCUUUGUAAGGAACCUGUAGUCCACAGCAAUCCUUCUCCUGGUGGCAUAUGGAUCAGACUCUCUCCAUAGCCUCAAUCCUGAAUCCUUCCUGAUUUUCAUGUUCUCUGCAACUGGGUGAGCAUCAUUGUGAUCUGGAAUUUUGGGCUUCAACUUCCUCAAAAUGACAGAAUCAUCUUCUUCGGCAGCUUGAGGCACGGGGGCCUUGUUCUUCUCCUCAGCAGGGAUGUUCCUGGUGCUCCUCUUGGGUUUUGGCUUUGGAGCUGGAGCAGUAGUCUUAGGAGCAGUUUUGGGCUUAGAUGGAACAGCCCCUACCCUUAUAGCAUCUCCCAUAAGCUUUUGAGCUUUGGGUGCUGGUGCUGCAUCCUCUUCCUCUUCUUCAGAAUCUCUCAUUAUUGAAGAUCUGCCAAGCACUCUGGCAGUGGUCUUCUUGACCCUUUCCUUCCUUUUCUUUUCUACCACAACCUGUUCUUUGGGUGCAGAUCCCAAAGUCUCUUGAGUGGACGUUCUGGCCUUUGACAUAGGAACUCUCUUGGCAGGAACCUUUUGCUUCAUUCCUGGCUUAGUGGCAACAGCUGUGCCAUAUUCCUUUUUCAGAACUUUCCUCUUUGAGGUGGCCUCUUCCUCAACAGCCACAUAGUCCUCAUCCUCAGAAUCUGAGGUUCUCUUCUUUCUGGUCCUGGUGGCUGCCUUAGGCAAGUUGCUGGGUGUACUCCUGCUUCCCUCAUCAAAGCUGCUAGAGGGACUAGUGCCCUCACUCAUGUUAACUUGCUCCUCAGACUUGUUCUGACUGUCACUCUGAUCUGACAUGAUGCAAACACUGAUAACAGACCCUGUGAAUAGAUAUAGAUGAGACAGAUUGGAUUGGCAUCACAAAGUACAGAGGGUUUUGCAAAAGAAUUAGUCAAAAACUUAGUUUUAGUUUUCCACAGAAAGCAUUUCGGAUCUACCGAUUUGAAAACUCGGUGAUACUGAAGCAGCUUUUGGAACCUAAACUAGUGAACUCGGUCAGACCGAGUCACAGUUCGGUGGCACCGAGACUGCUAGAGUUUCACAAAGUAUUGAACUCGGUAGAACCAAUUUCAACAACUCGGUUGGUCCGAGAUGAUUUCGGCGGAAACCUAACCCUAGAUUUUCAAUCCACGACUAAACUAUGGAGUGAUUUCGCUAGAUAGAGUGAUCUGAAUCGUGGCAAGAUACAUGGCAAAACAAUGUGCUAAGAAUCGGAGGGGGAUUAGCACAAGGAUCAAGUCCAUACCCUAAGUGCGGCGAUGGACCUGCUACGGCGGUAACGGCGGAGACGAUUUUUGUUGACGGCGGCGGAGACCAGCGGCGGGAGGCAGCUGGCGAUGAGGAGGAUGAUCCGGAGACCCAGGGAGGAAGAACAGGCUGAGUGCGGGCGAAGGGGUUCGGAAAAUUUUCCAAAUUUUGGCCCGGGGAUAUAUAUAGCCUGACCCUUUCGGUGUGACCGAGUGGAACAACUUGGUGACACCGAGAUUCAUAACUGCAAGCAGUUACUGAAACUCAAUGUGACCGAAAAGUUCAAAUCGGUUGCACCGAGAUUGAAAACCUAGAUCAACUUAGUGAUCUCGGUAUGACCGAAAUGGAUGAAUCGCUCAGACCGAAAUGCACAAAGAAGUUUUGGAAGUUUAAGUCUAUGACGAAUCGGGGACUCCGAAUGCUCCUCACACAGAGUUGUUCGAAUCUGACUUGAUCAAACUUUGUGAUGUAGCAUGAAUAUAGUUUGAGACGAGAAAAGCAUAGAUAGCUAGAGAAGGUUCUUAGGCAUUCUUGUCCAUCCACUUGGCAAAAGAAAAAGGAACCAAACAAUCAAAACAACAAGUGGAUGUCCUCUAAUGAGUAAAUUAUGCAACCAACAUGCUCACACAAUAAAAUGGCAAAUGAAAUAUGUGGCAAAGCAUGCACAACCAAUUCUAGCAUCUAUCAAGCAAUUGGCGAUGACUAGGUCAUCUAUAUAUGAAUAUAUUGACUUAGGAGUCAAAUGAGAACAUUUGAUCAUAGGUCAUACUCAUCGUUUAAGCACAAGUGGGGUUACCACUUUUACAUAAAGCGUUGUUGUGUUCACACCAUUAGAGUUGCUUUAGCUCAAUUCUUAGAGUAAAGCUCCCCUAGAUGUGAGAUCCACCCUAAGAGGGAUGAACUAACCUUGGGUUUUGUCGAUGAUGACUUCAUGUAGAUGUUGAAGAUGUGGAUGCUCAAUGUUGAUGUAGAUCAUUUGGAGCAAUCCUUUGGAGUGAGUUGCACUUUCAAUACCUACACGGGUUAGUCCCACAAGGAACAAACAAGGAUAUCCAUAGACAUAGAGUGAUGCACACACAAGAUGAUGUCUAUGAAAGCAUUAGGUUACCUUGUCCCUUGUCUUACCAACAAGAGGGUUUGUGACUCCUUGAACUAGUGCAAGAUGUGGAAGUUGAUUGCACUUGUUCUUCCCAAAAUGAUAAGAGUGAAGUAUGUUGGCGGAGUCACCCUCAAGAACUCUCUAGUUCUUCUUCUUCAUGAUCCACAUCAUAUUGAUGGGAAUCCUUGGAGUUGUAGUCGUAUUUGAUGAAGUAGAACUUGAUGUAGUCUUGGGAACUCACUUGACCAAGGCCUUGGGUGCUUCUUCAAAUGCAUCAAUUUCCUCUUGAAGCUUAUCCUUGCCUUUUUGCUUGUGGUCUUGUGGUGGAAGAUCAUCUUGAGCAUGUGUCCCUUUAAAGGAAGUAGGAUCAUACUUCUUUUGUUGAGGAACAAACUUUGUCUUGGGGUAUUGAUCUUCUUCCCACUCAACUCCAUUGGCAUUGAACUUUCAUUCAAAACCAACACCUUUGUUCUUCCGGUGUCUUCCUUGCUUGCGUACAAUUUCCUCGAAUUGCUUACUCUCGGCAAGGCUCUUGUAAACACCUUUCUCUAUAAUUCCCCUCAAUAAGGUAUUUUCUUGCUCAAGUGUAACUUGGGUAAGAGAAUCAUUAGUGGAAUCAAGAGAACUACUAGAAGCAACAACAUUAGAAUUAGCAUGAUUAUUGUUACUACUAGAGGAAGAAUCUUUCUUGUUCUUGUUACUAGACUUGACUUGAGGCAUGUAAGUGGAUAAGAGUAAACGUUUGGCAAUGUAAGAAGAAUUCUUCUUGCGAAGAUCAUCAUUGAUUGCUUUUAAGAACUCAUGCUCUUGCUCAAGGUUGAGCUUUUCAAAACGUAAUUUCUCAUGAGUCCUUAAAAGUUCUCGAUGAUCUCCUAAGAUAGUUUCAUGAGCUAACUUAAGAGUGUUUAGUUCUUUAGUUAGAAACUCAAUCUUCUCCUUAUCAUUGUCAUUCGUUUUAUCUUGAUUAGCAUGAUUAAUUGACGUUUCAUCAUAGUAUUCAUCACUAGAGUUGUCAACAAGUAAAUCAUCAUCACCUAACAAGUCAUCUUCAUCACUAUUUAAAUCAACAUACUCAGGAUGUGAUACCUUUGGGCCUUUAGCCAUGAAGCAUCUUCCAAGUCCUUCAUUUGGUGAAUCAAAUACGUCAUAGGAGUUGGUUGACACAAGUGCUAGACCGGCAACACCUUCAUCUUGAGUAUAUUUGGAGUCGGAGUGAUAGCUUCUCUCAGAGUGAUUGUCGGAGUCGGAGCCGGAUACCCAUUCACCAACAUGAGCUUGAUGUCUUCGUUUUGUGUAGCUCCUUGAUGACUUGUCCUUCCUUUCCGAAUCUUUGCUUCUCUGGGAUGUUCUUCUUUCAUAAUGAUCAUCUCUACUCCUUCUCUCUCUUGAUGGUGAUUCUUCUCUUCUACUUCUUCUUUUUGGAGAAUCUUCUCUUCUCUUGUAGGGUGUCGUACACUCAUUGAAAUAGUGUUCGGGUCCUCCACAAUUGUAGCAAUUUCGCUCCGACUAGAAGAUCAUUUUUAAUUGUAGGACCUUGACUUGGAACUUCUCUCUUUGCUUCUACUCUUGUAGAACUUGUUGAAGUUCUUCACCAUUAGGCUCAAUUCUUCAUUAAAGGUUUGUUUCUCACUUGAUGAUGUGGGAGCUUCACAUGAGGCUUUGUAAGAACCACUUGACUUGUUAUGGAUCUCCUCCUUAUCCUUGAGUGACAUCUCAUGAGCAACAAUUCUGCCAAUGACUUCCGUUGGCUUGAGAUCUUUGUAAUUGCGCAUCAUUUGGAUCAAUGUGCAUACGGUAUCAUAUUUUCCGUCCAAAGCUCUUAGGAUCUUCUUGAUGAUGAAUUUGUCGGUCAUCUCUUCACUUCCUAUGUCGGCAAUCUCAUUUGUGAUAAGAGCAAACCUAGAGUACAUUUCAGCGACACCUUCACCAUCCUUCAUUUUGAACUUGUCAAGCUGACUUUGAAGCACAUCCAACUUGGAUUCCUUGACGGAGUCGGUACCUUCGUGCAUAUCAAUCAAAGUAUCCCAAAUUUCCUUUGCAUUCUCAAGACGGUUGAUUUUGUUGAAUUCUUUGGGGCACAAUCCGUUGAAGAGGAUAUCACAAGCUUGAGCAUUGUAUUGCAGCAUCUUCAACUCUUCCGCACUAGCUUCACGGUUCGGUUCUCUCCCAUCAAAGAAUUCACCUUGCAAGCCAAUACACACAAUAGCCCAUACGGCGGGGUUAUGUCCAAGAAUAUGCAUUUUCAUCUUAUGCUUCCAACUAGCAAAAUUAGUACCAUCAAAGUAAGGAAAUCUACGGUGGUAAUUUCCCUCGCUAGAUGCCAUACUCUCCUAGGUUGUGAAACCAAGGCUAUGACUACCAAAAGCUAUGGAAAUCAAAGCAAAUGGAGACCAAAGCUCUGAUACCACUUGUAGGAUCGAAAGUAUGUCUAGAGGGGGGUGAUUAGAGUACUUGACCAAAAAAAACUUAUCCUUUUCCCAAUUUUAGUUCUUGGCAGAUUUUAGCAACUUUGGACAAGUCAAGCAAUCUUAACACAAUUCAAGCAAGCAUGCAAAGAGUAUAUGAGCAGCGGAAAGUAAAGCAUGCAACUUGCAAGAAUGUAAGGGGAAGGGUUUGGAGGAUUCAAACGCAAUAGUAGACACGGAUGUUUUUGUUGUGGUUCCGAUAGGUGGUGCUAUCGUACAUCGAUGUUGAUGGAGACUUCAAUCCACGAAGGGUAACGGCUGCGCUAGUCCACGGAGGGCUCCACCCACGAAGGGUCCAUGAGAAGCAACCUUGUCUAUCCCACCAUGGUCGUCGCCCAUGAAGGACUUGCCUCACUAGCGGUAGAUCUUCAUGAAGUAGGCGAUCUCCUUGCCCUUACAAACUCCUUGGUUCAACUCCACAAUCUUGUCGGAGGCUCCCAAGUGACACCUAGCCAAUCUAGGAGACACCACUCUCCAAGAAGUAACAAAUGGUGUAUUGAUGAUGAACUCCUUACUCUUGUGCUUCAAAUGAUAGUCUCCCCAACACUCAACUCUCUCUCACAAGAUAUGGAUUUGGUGGAAAGAAUAUUUGAGUGGAAAGCAACUUGGGGAAGGCUAGAGAUCAAGAUUCAUAUGGUAGGAAUGGAAUAUCUUGACCUCAACACAACUGUAGGUGGUUCUCUCUCAGAAAAAGUAAGUUGGAAGUGUAGGUUUGUUCUGAUGGCUCUCUCCACUAAUGAAGAGGUGGUGCAGGCGUAUAUGUAGCCUCGACACAAAAUCUAACCGUUACACACAACUUGCCAAUCUCGGUGGGACCGAAUUGAUAGACUCGGUCGGACCGAUUCAGCAAAGCUAGUGACCGUUAGGAGUUUCGGUGGGACCGACAUGCAACUCGGUAGGACCGAUAUGGUUAGGGUUAGGGCAUAACGUAAUCUCGGUGAGACCGAUUACACAAACUCGGUGAGACCGAUUUUGGUAAUAAGCUAACCAGAGAGUUGGUCAGGUAAACUUGGUGGGACCGAUUCGCUCAUUUCAGUGAGACCGAAAUGUUACAAAAGGGAAACAGAGAAUUUACAUUGCAAUCUCGGUGGGACCGAAACAUUACGAAGGGAAACAGAGAGAUUACAAUCCCAUCUCGGUGAGACCAAGAUCCCUAUCGGUGAGACCGAUUUGCCUAGGGUUUGUGGCAGUGGCUAUGACAUCUGAACUCGGUGGCGCCGGAUAGAAAGAAUCGGUGGGGUCGAGUUUGACUUUUGGUUUAGGUCAUAUGUGGAUGUGAGAAAGUAAUUGAGGGCUUUGGAGCAUAUCACUAAGCAUUUUGAGCAAGAGCCUCAUUAAGCAACACCUCAUCCCUCCUUGAUAGUAUUGGCUUUUCCUAUAGACUCAAUGUGAUCUUGGAUCACUAAAAUAGAAAAUGUAGAGUCUUGAGCUUUGAGCUUGAGGCAAUCCUUUUGUCCUUAGCAUUUUGAGGGGUCCACUUUUCUCAUCCAUGCCAUGCCAAUCAUUAAGCUUUCCUGAGAUAUUAAUCUUGAAAUAGCAUUAGCUCAAUCAGCUAUAUGUUGUUAGGAAUUACCAAAACCACCUAGGGAUAGUUGCACUUUCAGGGAUUCGAUCACAGAGGGCUUCUACAUCAACUCUAUUGCCCUUCCGAUGAAGCGUGAGUAGUUUACCACCGACCUGCAGGUCCAUAGGUAGUAGCUAGAUGGCUUCUUCUCUCUCUUUGAUUCUCAAUACCAUGUUCUCCUCGAUGUUCCUGGAGCUCUAUCUGAUGUAAUCUUAUGGAUUGUGGAUUUAUGGUCAGCUUAUCUAUGAAUAUUAAUUGAAUCUUCUCUGAAUUCUUUUAUGCAUUAUUUGAUAUCUUUGUAAUUCGAAUUGUCGGUUUGGUUGGGCCAACUAUAUUGGUUUUUCUUGCAAUGGAAGAAGUGCUUAGCUUUGGGUUCAAUCUUGCGGUGUCCUUUCCUAGUGACAGUAGGGGCAGCAAGGACGUAUUGUAUUGUCUCCAUUGAGGAUAAAAAGAUGGGGUUUACAUCAUAUUGCUUGAGUUUAUUCCUCUACAUCAUGUCAUCUUACUUAAUGUGUUACUCUGUUCUUCAUGAACAUAAUACUCUAGAUGCAGGCAGGAGUCGGCCGAUGUGUGGAGUAAUAGUAGUAGAUGCAGAAUCGUUUCAGUCUACUUGACACGGACGUGAUGCCUAUAUUCAUGAUCAUUGCCUUAGAUAUCGUCAUAACUUUGUGCUUUUCUAUCAAUUGCUCGACGGUAAUUUGUUCAUCCACCAUAUUAUUUGCUAUCUUGAGAGAAGCCUCUAGUGAAACCUAUGGCCCCUGGGUCUAUUUUCCAUCAUAUAAGUUUCCGAUCUACUAUUUUCCAUCUUAUUAGUUUCUGAUCUACUAUUUUGCAAUCUUUUACUUUCCGAUCUACAAACAAAAAAUACCAAAAGUAUUUACUUCGUCGUUCAUCUAUCUCUAUCGGAUCUCACUUUUGCAAGUAACCAUGAAGGGAUUGAAAACCCCUUUAUCACGUUGGGUGCAAGUUGUUUGAUUGUUUGUGCAGGUAUUCGGUGAUGUGUGCAUUGUCUCCUACUGGAUUGAUACCUUGGUUCUCAAAAUAAGGGAAAUACUUAUCUCUAAUUUGUUGCACCACCCUUUCCUCUUCAAGGGAAAAACCAACGCAAGCUCAAGAAGUAGCACAUCUCUAGGACGUGGUUCAUUGACGUUGCCCUCAAAAGGUAAUUUGCAAACUUCACAAAAGUCAUACAGCGUCAUCUCCUUAUGCUCAUCACAUAAAUAAAACUCUACCAUGGGUGGUGAUCUCCUAGCAUGAAAGUGAAAUUUUUGCAUGAAAGUAUUAGUGAGUAGGAGGUAUUGAUCACACUUAUCAUGGAGAAAGUCGGUGAUGCCUGCAUUCUCAGCCAAAUAAUAGAAAUCAUCAUAAAUUCCGGCCGCCCCCAAGAAUGUGUCACAUGGCCAUUCACACGGUCGAACCUCCGCGGUGUGAGGAAGGUUGUACUUGGGCUUCUUUUUCUCUUCAUUUUCCUUUUCUUUAGAACCCUGACUUGAAGAGCCUCUUAACAAUCUCCUCAUGUUUUAUUUCUCUGAAAAUUUCUGAAAGUUUUAGUGACUCAAAAUAAAAGUGAACCAAACUCAAUAAAACUAAUAGCAACCACUCCUACAAGUGUCUAGAGGCUAUAUCAUGCAUCAAAACUACUUUGGACCAUAUAAAUUUGACAUGCAAGCUCAAGAACAAGGUCACCACAGCAGCAAACAUUUGCAAUAAAUAAAGCACUAGAAAAAUAUAAUUGGACCAUUGGAGGAGUCACAUACCAAAGAACAAUCCCCCAACACAGUUUUGCAAAUGGAGCUUUGCAUAAGGAGAUCGAAAAUGGCAGCAAGAUGAGCAAGAACACGGGUUUGAGCAACGGGAUGAUUUUUUCUGGAGGAAGACGAGGUGGAUGGGUACUGGAAUAAGUGAGGGGACCCCACGUGAGACCCACAAGGUAGGAGGGCGCGCCCUCCACCCUUGUGGCCCACUGGUGCAUGUUCAGUGCCAAAAAUUCUAAAAUAUUCUACAAAAAAUUAUACUAAAUUUUCAGGGCAUUUGGAGAACUUUUAUUUUCACGACAUUUUUUAUUGCACGGACAAUUCAGAAAACAGACAGAUAAUACUAUUUUUGCUUUAUUUAUUCUAAAUAACAGAAAGUAAAAAAGUGAGUACAUAAAGUUGUGCUUUCUAAAUUCAUCUAUCUCAUGCCCAUCCAAAGGAAUCCAUUAACAAGGUUGAUCAAGUCUUAUUAACAAACUUCUUCUGACUCACAUGAAACCGGAGAAUUUUCAAAUAAUACUAAGUUACCUCAACGGGGAUAUACAUGUCCCCAACAAUAAGAAUAUCAUAUUUCUUUUUGACAGUAGGGAGAGGGAAUUCAAAACCUCCAAUAGUAAUAGUUGAAAUUUUUCCAAUAGAAUUGAUACUAUGAACUUAAGGUUGUUUCUUCAGAAAGUGUACAGUAUGCUCAUUACAAUUAACAUGAAAAGUGACAUUGCCUUUAUUGCAAUCAAUAACAGACCCUACAAUAUUCAAAAGGGUCUACCAAGGAUGAUUGACAUAUUGUCGUCCUCGAGAAUAUCAAGAAUAACAAAGUCCAUUAAGAUAGUAACGUUUGCAACCACAACAGGCACAUCCUCGCAAAUACCGAUGGGUAUAGCAGUUGAUUUAUCGGCCAUUUGCAAAGAAAUUUCAGUAGGUGUCAACUUAUUCAGUUCAAAUCUACGAUAUAAAGAGAAAGGCAUAACACAAACACCGGCUCCCAAAUCACAUAAAGCAGUUUUAACAUAGUUUCUUUUAAUGGAGCGUGGUAUAGUUGGUAUUCCUAGAUCUCCAAGUUUUUUUGGUAUUCCACCCUUAAAAGUAUAAUUAGCAAGCAUGGUAGAAAUUUUAGCUUCUGGUAUCUUUCUUUUAUUUGUAACAAUAUCUUUCAUAUACUUAUGUCCGAGUAAUUGACCACGGGUACCCCGAAGACGGCGAGACAAUAUUUCAAGACAUCGGGGCUAGCAAAGCCCCUCAGUCCGACUGCUCAGGCCGCCCCAGACGGCCCCCUGUCCGACUGCCCGGGCCGACUACGCCAACUAGCCGGCUGCCCGAAGUCAGCGGCUGCAUCGACCCGACACUGACAAGACGGCCAUACCAUGACAUCAUCUACAAUGUACCUUGUCCCUUGGGCAUUGAUUUAGAAAAUGCCCCAGAGGACAAGCAUAACUUAGCUCCCAAGCUACCCAUAGCUUGAGAUAUAAGCUACUCAUUGUAGCUUACAUCUCAAACCACCCCAUGCCCACUUGCCCCCCAUGUGUCACAUCCCUAGUUCUGGUAUGACCUAGACCAACUAGCCAUUUGUGCAUCAUGUUUAAAUUCCAUUUAAAUUUGAAAUGGGGAUUUGUGAAACCCUCAGAAUCAUUUCUGGAAAUGACCCAAAUAAAAAUUGCUCCAAAAAGGUCCAAGAAAAUGUUCAUGUUGUUCUCUAAAAAUAUUGGACAGAGAUGAAAAUCAAACCAAUAUUUUUAGGAGCUCAUAAGUAUUUAUUUUGGGCAUUUGGAAUCAAUGCAGUAAUUAUUUGCUUUGGAUAUAUAAAUGUUAUAUAUAUAUUAUAUGUCCAAAAAUUGUGCCAUUUGUUGAGGAGCUCUCGAAUAAUACCACUAGCCCCUACAAAAAUCGGCAUAAUAAAAUAAAAUGGUUUAGUAUUUUUAUUAAACCAAACAAAUGUCAGAAAAAUAGGAAAGAAACAAAAAUAGAAAGCUUACAUGGCGCUUACCUACAGCCAUCUGGCGCCUCAGCCGGCCCAGUGGUGCGGCCACUGGCCCAACCGCCAAUUGUCGUCCUCCUGGCGACGACAGAAGGACAGGGGCACGGGCCGGCGCGCGCGGCCACGCGUCCGGCCGGGGCCACAUUCCCCGCCACCUCCUGCUUCUCCUCCUCCUCGUCUGGAUGCCCCGCGCGACGCCGCCCCGACCUCUCUCCCUCUCCCUCGCUCUCCCUCCUCCUCUGGUUCUCUUCCGCGCGACCGCCCGAGCACCACCGUCGCUGCCGCACGCCAUUGUCGCGGCCACCGCCUCCCCCUCGCCCUCUCUUCGAGUCCAGAAGCUCCGCCACGUCGUCCUCCACCUCUCCGUCAAGCCACGCGCCUCGGGAGGCCCUGGAGAGCCGCCUCGCCGCCGUCUUCAUCUCCGGUCGCCGGAGAUCGUCUUUGCCGCCCCGUCGUCUUCAACGCGUCCCCGAGCUCGCCGACCGCCUCGUCCAAACCGCCGUGAGCUUCUACGCCAUUCCCCUCUCUCCGUUUAGCCGCCUGCACGCCGUAGCCCCUUUCCCCGCCAUGGCCGUAGCUCCUCGCCGUCGUCUAUGUCGCCGCCCCAGCCACCGCAGCCCACAACCGAGCACGUCACCGUGCUCCUGGUGCCACGAGGGUGCCGCAGAGCCCCUCGGGUGGCCACCCCGUGCCCCACAGCCCGCUCCCGCUUGAAGCUCGUGCUCCGGCUGCCGCCCCGAGCUCCGCCCCGGCGAGCUCCAGCCGUCCUCGCCUCUCCCACUUGCUCCAAAUGACGCAGACAAGGCUCAGCUCCUCGCCCGUGGUCUCCGCCGCCUGAAUGGUCACCGGAGGGCGAUUCCCGUGCCCUCCGCCGCGUUCGGCCUCGCCGGCGGCUAAACGCCGGCAAGUUUGACCGCGUCAACCCCGCUAAUUAAANNNNNNNNNNNNNNNNNNNNNNNNNNNNNNNNNNNNNNNNNNNNNNNNNNNNNNNNNNNNNNNNNNNNNNNNNNNNNNNNNNNNNNNNNNNNNNNNNNNNNNNNNNNNNNNNNNNNNNNNNNNNNNNNNNNNNNNNNNNNNNNNNNNNNNNNNNNNNNNNNNNNNNNNNNNNNNNNNNNNNNNNNNNNNNNNNNNNNNNNNNNNNNNNNNNNNNNNNNNNNNNNNNNNNNNNNNNNNNNNNNNNNNNNNNNNNNNNNNNNNNNNNNNNNNNNNNNNNNNNAACCCCCCCCCCCUCUGUGACAUUGACAAGUGGGCCAGGCCCCUGCUAAUUUUAGUUAGAUGUUAAUUAAACUUAAUUAGCUGAUGAUACUGACAUGUGGGCCCGAGGCCACUAACUAAACUAGAUUAGUUAGUUUAGACACUGACAUAUGGGUCCCACUGGUCAGGUUUGACCUGGACCGACCCGUUGACUCGCUGAUGUCACGCUGACGUCAGGCUGACGCAGUUAUUCAUUUUCUGGAUUUAAGAUUAAUCAGGAAAUUUUAGAAAAUGAUUCAAACUUCAAAAAAUCAUAGAAAUUCAACCGUAGCUCGGAUUGAAAUAAUUUAUAUAUGAAAAAUUAUCAGAAAAAUACAAUCUUUCCAUCUGUACCAGUUUCAUGCAUGACAAAACAACUUAUACCUGCUGUAUAGGUGAAAACAUAUAAAUGGCAUAUAUAAGAGCAUAAUUUGGAGUUGCAUUUGAUCCCUUGGUUCAAAUGGACUUCAUUCAAUUUGAAUACUAGUUGCAUUAGCUCAAACAGCAUCACAUCUUCAUGCCAUGUUCAUGCAUCAUAUUGUUGCAUAUGCUUGUGUAUUGAUUGUUGUCACCGUUCCUUCUCGAUAGGUCCUGCUCCGGAAGUGUUCGAGAGUACCUAUCAGUGAAGCAGUGCCCCCCCUGUUGAUCUACCAGGCAAGCAACCCCCCUUGUUCAUUCCGAUACAAUCCCACUCUCUCGAUCCUGCUCUCUUUUAUUGCAUUAGGACAACAACGAUUCAACUGCUACUUUAUGUUGCGGUAGUUGAACCCAUUCCUCUACAUGACCUGUCAUUGCCACAGUAAAUAGUUGAAACCCACUAGCAUGUGUAGAAGUUGAUUGAGCCAUGUGGUGUUCCUACCAUGCCAUGCUUGCUAUUGCUUAGAGUUGUGUCAGGUCUGAUUCAUCGGGAAUGAAUUGGAGUGGUACGAUAUGUUCUGGUGCUGAGAGUUAAGCGUGUGAACACGAUUUGGUAAAGGUAGCGGUGAGAGGCCAUGUAGGAGUACAUGGUGGGUUGUCUCACUGGAACCGUCCUUAAGCACUGAGUUCCGUGUAUGUUGUCCAAUGACUAGCUACUACCACACAUUGGAAUGCUUAAGUGCCCUCUCGACUUAUUAGCCAACUUGAUCUCUGUCCAGGAGUUGCAAAUAGUUUCUGGCGUUUGUAGGUGGUGUUAGUAGUCUACCAAGUGGCACCCAGCCAGGUGGUCUUGGGACAGACUAGGCACAAGUGGCACGGUGUACCAAGCGUAGAUCCAUCCGGUGAGGUGGGCUUGGGAACCCUACACAUAUCGUUUGGGGCCAUGAGCGACACCCCGGCCGGAUCUCCUUGUGGAUGGAACCCGAAUAGGCGAUAAACCUGGACUAGAGUCUUGUGUGGUUAGUCAGGUCGUGGCCGACACCCUCGCCAGGCUUCCGCUUGAAGGUUGCCGAGAUACAUGAUGUGUAUAUGGUGAUAAAUGGUGAGAGCGUGUGUGAAGAAGUACACCCCUGCAGGGUUAACAUGAUCUAUUCGAAUAGCCGGGUCCGCGGUUAUGAACUUCUUGGAUGCUUACGUGGUACAUAGACAACUUAAAGUGGAUACUCUAAAAUGCUCAAGACAAGUGUGAGUGCUAUGGAUGGCCUUCUCGUCAGGAGACGAGGAUGGAUCCAUAGUAGUGUUUUGAUGUGGUGAUUAGUGGACUCGUGUGCGCUGCCUCAUCUCAAAGAAGUUUCUCAUUGUCGUAGAACAGGAUAGCCACUGAGUCAAAGCUGGCUUGCUGCAACUAAACCCCACAUUACCUUCUUGAUACAAAUGCAUGUAUGAUAGGAUCUGAUGUAAGUCUUGCUGAGUACCUUUGUACUCACGUUUGCUUUAUUUAUGUUUUGCAGGUGAGAUGUCUGUCUCACUAGUAGUACCGCUUGGACUUCGACGAGUAGCUUGUUACCUCAGCUAUGAUCUUGUACCUUGGAGGGACUUGUAGAUAGUCAGGUUUCUUAGCCUUUUUCUUUUGUAGUUGUCUGUACUCAGACAUGUAAUGCUUCCGUUGCUUGUAUGCUCUGAAUGAUGGGUCAUGUGACCCCUGUUUGUAUUAAUGCUAUGUGGCUCUUCUGGGCCUUUAUCUAUAUGAGUUGCGUUAUGUUGUGAUGCCAUGUUGUACAGCACAUACUUGCAUGUGAUGCGUACGUGUGACGUGUAUUGCUAUGUGUGGGAUCCGACAAUCUAGUUGUUUAUCCUUGGCAGCCUCACAUAUGGGGAAAUGUAGUCUAGUGCUUCCUUGAGCCAUAGUAGUCCGCUACAGCCCGGUUCACCGGAGUCCUGCUAGCCCAGCACUACUACUCAGGACACUCGACUGGCUGGCAUGUGUUUCACUUUGUUCAUGUGUCUGUCCCUUCGGGGAAAUGUCACACGGUGACAUCCGGAGUCCUGGUAGCCAGUGCUACAGCCCGGAUUCACACGCUGUUGACCGACAUGCUCGAUGUGAAUCAUGUAUGCCUGUCCCAUAGGUUAGUGCCGCUUUGGGUUCACGACUAGCCAUGUCGGCCCGGGUUCUCUAUCAUAUGGAUGCUAAUGACACAAUCAUAUACGUGAGCCAAUAGGCGCAAACAGUCCCGGGCCAGGGUAAGACGACACACGUGGGGAAUACCGUGCAUGAGGCCGCAAAGUGAUAUGAGGUGUUAUCGGCUAGAUCGAUGUGACUUGGAAUCGGGGUCCCGACAGGUUUGGUAUCAGAGCCUGAUUGCCUGUAGGACUUCCAAGCCAACCUGGUCGAAGUUGAGUCUAGAAAUUCUUUAGUUAUGUAAGGGAAUUGAUUGUGGAAGGGAACGUAAGGCUCUUUUUACUCCUUAUACCUCAUGUCUUCUGAUCUGAGUCAUCCUAUCUUUCCUACGGGGUUAAGGAGCUAGGCUUCCUCUUCUGUCUAUCAGGAUCACGUGUUACUACUCCGUAGUUCUUAGGAUUGGUUGAUCUGAGUCAUAUCCCAGUUCGAGUAUCUCCAGUGUAGCCUGUUUAGUAAUAUUUUUGAACCUUGAGUGAUGAUGUUGAGGUUGGUGCUACCCGUCUUUGCAGAAUGUUUCAUUUUGAGCAUUCUACUGCCGUUAUGCUGCCGGAAUUGUUCUAAGAGUUUGAGAGAUACUAAAUUCUUGUGCUACCCUCUGCAACCUAUAGUUGAUGCUGAAUCCAUCCUUGUCUUCCUUGGUUUCGUUCUUCAGGAUGUUGCCGGUUAACCGAAGUUCUAUUGCUCGUAGCCGGAACUACGGAGAUGGUAGGGAUGAGGAUCCUCCCGAUCAGUCUUCGUUGGCAGAGUUCAUGCUAGAGAUGGAGAGGAACAAGCGUGAGUCUAACCGCUUGCUAGCACGUAUUGAGGAGAACACCUCCCAGCAGCACAAAGAGUUUGUGUCCAUUCAUGACUUCAUUGGCUUGAAACCACCUACCUUCCAUCAUUCCAUUGAACCACUUGAUGCAGAUGACUGGCUCCGUAGUAUCACACACAAGCUGCAUUCUGCGAACAUAGCUGAAGGUGACAAGGUCACCUAUGCUACUUAUCACCUGGAAGGUCCUGCUAGUAUUUGGUGGCAGAACUAUGAGGCUAUGCUUCCAGCUGGCCAGAUACCCACCUGGAGAGAUUUCAUUGAGGCUUUUCGCGAGCAUCACAUCCCUCAGGCUCUCAUUGACCGCAAGAGAGAAGAGUUUUGUAGUUUCACCCAGAGUAAGAUGGCUGUUGAUGCUUAUAGUAGAGAAUUUGAGAACCUUGCCCGCUAUGCUACAGAAGAAGUGUCCACAGAUGCCAAGAAGCAGGCUAGGUUCCGGAAGGGUCUCAACCCCAAGUUGCGUCGUGAUCUCCACUUGCAUCAUUGCAAUACAUUCCACGCUCUUGUGAACAAGGCCAUUAAUGCAGAGAUAGCUCAACUCACCUACAAGGAAUCUCGUAAACACACCCGUGAUUUGGGUUCUUCCUCCGGUUCUAGUUCUCAGAAGCGCCGGAUUUGGGUUCCGAACUCUGCUCUUCCACCUGGUUAUACACCAAGGCCUUCUUGUGUGUCACCUCACACAGUUCAACCGUAUGCUACACCCAUGCCUAUUGGUAGACCACUUGUCAAUGCGGGUCCUUGUCCUACCUCCAAGAUCUAUUACAAGUGCGGAGAGCCAGGCCACAUUGCCCGUAUUUGCACUCAGACCCGUGUUGCUCCACCCCAGCCCGAGAAGUCUGUUGGCCGUGGCAGUAAACCUUCACACCAGAUGAUCAGAGCCAAGUCAGCUCCCAGUGAACUUGGACGUGUGCAUCACGUCUCAGCUAAAGACGCUCAUGAUGAUCCAGAUGUCGUUCUUGGUACACUCCUUGUCAACUAUCACCCAGCUUCGGUUCUAUUCGAUACUGGGGCAUCUCACUCCUUCAUUUCCGAAAGUUACGCCCGUUUUCACGACAUGUCAUUUUGUGAUAUGCCCUCCCCACUACUCAUUCAAACCCCUGGAUCCAAGUGGCAAACUUCUAGGAUAAGUUAUGGCAAUGAAAUACAUGUUGACAGACUUGUAUUUCUAGCUUCCUUGAUAUCCCUCAAGUCUUCAGAUAUUAACAUCAUCUUGGGUAUGGACUGGAUGAAAGCUCAUUAUGCCAAGAUUGACUGUUACACCAGGUAUGUUCAGCUCACACACCCCUCUGGCAAGAUAGUCACUGUCUCCACCAAAAUUGCAAGGCGUCAACUAUAUUCUCUAAAUGCCAGCCCUCUUCCAGACCUUGAAGAUAUCCCGGUAGUCCGCGACUUUCCGGAUGUCUUUCCAGAGGAACUACCAGGUAUUCCACCUGACAGAUAUGUAGAGUUUGUUAUAGAUCUUAUCCCCGGAACCGCCCCAAUUUCUAGGAGACCUUACAAGAUGGCACCCUUAGAGCUAGCCGAGCUUAAGAAACAACUUGAUGAGUCCUUGCAAAAGGGUUUCAUCCGUCCUAGUUCUUCUCCCUGGGCUUGCCCCGUUCUCUUCGUCAAGAAGAAGGAUGGUACGGACCGAAUGGUUGUAGAUUAUCGUCCCGUUAAUUUGGUCACGAUAAAGAACAAGUAUCUGCUCCCCGGGAUCAAUGAUCUGUAUGAUCAGGUCGCUGGAUCCUUAGUCUUCUCCAAGAUGGAUUUGAGGUUAGGCUACCACCAAAUCAAGAUCAGAAACGGGGACAUUCCUAAGACGGCUUUCGUCACUCGUUAUGGCUAGUACGAGUACACCGUCAUGUCCUUCGGUCUAACCAAUGCUCCAGCUACAUUCUCCCGCUUGAUGAACUCGAUCUUCAUGGAGUACCUAGAUAAGUUUGUCGUGGUUUACCUCGAUGAUAUCCUUAUUUACUCGAAGAACGAGGAAGAGCAUGCCGAACAUCUUAGACUUGUGUUAGAAAAACUCGGAGAACACCGCCUUUACGCCAAGUUCUCCAAGUGCGAAUUUUGGUUGCCAGAAGUGACCUAUCUCGGCCACGUAAUCUCUGGUAAGGGCAUUGCUGUCAAUCCCGAAAGAGUUCAAGCCGUUCUUGAUUGGAGUCCACCUGAAACGGUUAAGCAAGUUAGGAGUUUCCUUGGCCUAGCCAGUUAUUGUCGCCGCUUCGUUGAGAACUUCUCCAAAGUGGCCAAACCUCUCACGGAACUUCUCAGGAAAGAUAAAAAGUUUGAGUGGUCCCCACAGUGUGAGUACAGUUUUCAGGAACUAAAAAGACGCCUGACUUCUGCUCCCGUACUUGUGCCACCGGAUUUCACUAAAGACUUUGUUAUCUACUGCGAUGCCUCACGACAGGGACUAGGUUGCAUCCUUAUGCAAGAUCGCCAUGUGAUUGCCUAUGCAUCUCGAUAGUUGCAUCCACAUGAGGAGAAUUAUCCUACACAUGAUCUAGAGCUUGCAGCCGUAGUCUAUGCACUUAAGACCUGGCGACAUUACCUUCUCGGUAAACAUUGUGAGAUAUACACCGACCACCAGAGUCUCAAGUACAUCUUCACCCAACCAGAUUUGAACCUUAGGCAAAGACGUUGGUUGGAGUUGAUCUCAAAUUACGACUUAGGAAUUACCUAGACCCCAGGCAAGGGGAAUGUCAUGGCUGAUGUGCUAAGUCGUAAGUCCUAUUGCAACAAUCUCAUGUUGCAACAGGGCCAGCCACUUCUCCAUGAGGAAUUAUGUAAGCUUAACCUUCACAUUGCUCCUCACGGAUUCCUUUCUACCUUGGUGGCGAAACCUACCCUUGGGGAUCAGAUCAUUACUGAUCAGAAGUUUGAUAGGGGUGUUAUCCGCAUCAAGAGAAACAUUAAGAAGGGAGUUGGUGGAUUUUCUCUAUGGAUGAUCGAGGUGUUGUUUUCUUUGAGAAUCGCUUGGUGAUUCCCAAGAACCAACAUCUGCGACAACUGAUUCUUAAGGAGGCACAUGAAUCCCCUCUCACGAUUCAUCCCAGUAGUACUAAGAUGUAUCAGGACCUACGCCAGAGGUUCUGGUGGACUAGGAUGAAGAGAGAAAUUGCUCAGUUCAUUGCUAACUAUGACGUUUGUCGCCGCGUUAAGGCAGAGCAUCAAAGGCCUGCUGGCACUCUUCAGCCUUUAGCUAUUCCUGAAUGGAAAUGGGAUAAAGUUGGUAUGGACUUCAUCACCGGCUUUCCCAGGACCAAGAGAGGGAAUAAUGCUAUCUUCGUGGUCAUUGAUCGUCUCUCCAAAGUGGCGCACUUCCUACCUGUUCGAGAGAGUAUCACUGCUAGUCAGCUAGCUGACUUAUAUAUUUCUCGAAUAGUAUCACUUCACGGUGUUCCACUAGAGAUCAAUUCAGACCGUGGCAGUCUUUUCACUUCUCACUUCUGGGAGAGUUUCCAAACUGCCAUGGGAACCCAUCUUUCCUUCAGUACCGCUUUCCACCCUCAAUCAAGUGGUCAGGUGGAAAGGGUCAACCAAAUUCUCGAAGACAUGCUUACAGCUUGUGUUAUCUCCUUCGGUAUGGAUUGGGAGAAGUGUCUUCCCUUCGCCGAGUUUGCUUAUAACAAUAGCUACCAGUCCAACCUCAAGAAAGCUCCUUUUGAGGUUCUGCAUGGACGAAGAUGUCGAACACCUUUGAACUGGUCAGAAACCGGUGAGAGACAAUUUUUUGGACUGGAUAUGAUCCAGGAGGUAGAAGAGCAAGUUCGCAUCAUUCGUGAGAAUUUGAAAACAGCCCAAUCUCGUCAAAAGAGCCAGUAUGAUCGUCAUCAUAAGGAAGUGGCUUAUGAAAUUGGCGACAAAGCUUACCUUCGGAUUACCCCUUUGAAGGGUACCCAUCGUUUCGGUAUCAAGGGCAAGUUGGCUCCUCAUUACAUUGGUCCCUUUCUCAUUCUCGCUAAAUGAGGAGAGGUUGCCUACCAGUUGGAACUACCACCACAUCUUUCUCGAGUUCAUGAUGUCUUCCACAUCUCUCAACUCAGGCGUUGCUUCUCGGAUCCCAUCCGUGGAGUGGACCACGAAACGCUUGAUCUCCAAGAUAACCUCACUUAUCGAGAGUACCCUGUCUGCAUACUUGAUCAAGCAGAGCGUGUCACCCGACGUCAUAAUAUCAAGUUUCUCAAGGUUCAGUGGUCUCAUCAUUUCGAGAGAGAAGCUACUUGGGAGCGUGAAGAUCGUCUUCGACUUGAGUACCCCACUUUCUUUCCGUCGACUCCUGAAUCUCGGGACGAGAUUCUUCCAAGUGGGGGCGAGUUGUCACAUCCCUAGUUCUGGUAUGACCUAGACCAGCUAGCCAUUUGUGCAUCAUGUUUAAAUUCCAUUUAAAUUUGAAAUGGGGAUUUGUGAAACCCUCAGAAUCAUUUCUGGAAAUGACCCAGAUAAAAAUUGCUCCAAAAAGGUCCAAGAAAAUGUUCAUGUUGUUCUCUAAAAAUAUUGGACAGAGAUGAAAAUCAAACCAAUAUUUUUAGGAGCUCAUAAGUAUUUAUUUUGGGCAUUUGGAAUCAAUGCGGUAAUUAUUUGCUUUGGAUAUAUAAAUGUUAUAUAUAUAUUAUAUGUCCAAAAAUUGUGCCAUUUGUUGAGGAGCUCUAGAAUAAUACCACUAGCCCCUACAAAAAUUGGCAUAAUAAAAUAAAAUGGUUUAGUAUUUUUAUUAAACCAAACAAAUGUCAGAAAAAUAGGAAAGAAACAAAAACAGAAAGCUUACCUGGCGCUUACCUACAGCCAUCUGGCGCCUCAGCCGGCCCAGUGGUGCGGCCACUGGCCCAACCGCCAACCGUCGUCCUCCUGGCGACGACAGAAGGACAGGGGCACGCGCCGGCGCGCGCGGCCACGCGUCCGGCCGGGGCCACGUUCCCCGCCACCUCCUGCUUCUCCUCCUCCUCGUCUGGAUGCCCCGCGCGAUGCCACGCGCCGCCCCUACCUCUCUCCCUCUCCCUCGCUCUCCCUCCUCCUCUGGUUCUCUUCCGCGCAACCGCCCGAGCACCACCGUCACCGCCGCACGCCAUUGUCGUGGCCACCGCGUCCCCCUCGCCCUCUCUUCGAGUCCAGAAGCUCCGCCACAUCGUCCUCCACCUCUCCGUCAAGCCACGCGCCUCGAGAGGCCCUGGAGAGCCGCCUCGCCGCCGUCUUCAUCUCCGGUCGCCGGAGAUCGUCUUCGCCGCCCCGUCGUCUUCAACGCGUCCCCGAGCUCGCCGACCGCCUCGUCCAAACCGCCGUGAGCUUCUACGCCAUUCCCCUCUCUCCUUUUAGCCGCCUACACGCCGUAGCCCCUUUCGGCGCCGUGGCCGUAGCUCCUCGCCGUCAUCUAUGUCGCUGUCGUCGCCCUGGCCACCGCAGCCCGCAACCGAGCACGUCACCGUGCUCCUGGUGCCACGAGGGUGCCGCAGAGCCCCUCGGGUGGCCACCCCGUGCCCCACAGCCCGCUCCCGCUUGAAGCCCGUGCUCCGGCCGCCGCCCCGAGCUUCGCCCCGGCGAGCUCCGGCCGUCCCCGCCUCUCCCACUUGCUCCAAAUGACGCAGACGAGGCUCAGCUCCUCACCCAUGGUCUCCGCCGCCUGAAUGGUCACCGGAGGGCGAUUCCCUUGCCCUCCGCCGCGUUCGGCCUCGCCGGCGGCUAAACGCCGNNNNNNNNNNNNNNNNNNNNNNNNNNNNNNNNNNNNNNNNNNNNNNNNNNNNNNNNNNNNNNNNNNNNNNNNNNNNNNNNNNNNNNNNNNNNNNNNNNNNNNNNNNNNNNNNNNNNNNNNNNNNNNNNNNNNNNNNNNNNNNNNNNNNNNNNNNNNNNNNNNNNNNNNNNNNNNNNNNNNNNNNNNNNNNNNNNNNNNNNNNNNNNNNNNNNNNNNNNNNNNNNNNNNNNNNNNNNNNNNNNNNNNNNNNNNNNNNNNNNNNNNNNNNNNNNNNNNNNNNNNNNNNNNNNNNNNNNNNNNNNNNNNNNNNNNNNNNNNNNNNNNNNNNNNNNNNNNNNNNNNNNNNNNNNNNNNNNNNNNNNNNNNNNNGGCCCCUGCUAAUUUUAGUUAGAUGUUAAUUAAACUUAAUUAGCUGAUGAUACUGACAUGUGGGCCCGAGGCCACUAACUAAACUAGAUUAGUUAGUUUAGACACUGACAUAUGGGUCCCACUGGUCAGGUUUGACCUGGACCGACCCGUUGACUCGCUGAUGUCACGCUGACAUCAGGCUGACGCAGUUAUUCAUUUUUUGGAUUUAAGAUUAAUCAGGAAAUUCUAGAAAAUGAUUCAAACUUCAAAAAAUCAUAGAAAUUCAACCGUAGCUCGGAUUGAAAUAAUUUAUAUAUGAAAAAUUAUCAGAAAAAUACAAUCUUUCCAUCUGUACCAGUUUCAUGCAUGACAAAACAACUUAUACCUGCUGUAUAGGUGAAAACAUAUAAAUGGCAUAUAUAAGAGCUUAAUUUGGAGUUGCAUUUGAACCCUUGGUUCAAAUGGACUUCAUUCAAUUUGAAUACUAGUUGCAUUAGCUCAAACAGCAUCACAUCUUCAUGCCAUGUUCAUGCAUCAUAUUGUUGCAUAUGCUUGUGUAUUGAUUGUUGUCACUGUUCCUUCUCGAUAGGUCCUGCUCCGGAAGUGUUCGAGAGUACCUAUCAGUGAAGCAGUGCCCCCCUGUUGAUCUACCAGGCAAGCAACCCCCCUUGUUCGUUCCGAUACAAUCCCACUCUCUCGCUCCUGCUCUCUUUUAUUGCAUUAGGACAACAACGAUUCAACUGCUACUUUAUGUUGCGGUAGUUGAACCCAUUCCUCUACAUGACCUGUCAUUGCCACAGUAAAUAGUUGAAACCCACUAGCAUGUGUAGAAGUUGAUUGAGCCAUGUGGUGUUCCUACCAUUCCAUGCUUGCUAUUGCUUAGAGUUGUGUCAGGUCUGAUUCAUCGGGAAUGAAUUGGAGUGGUACGAUAUGUUCUGGUGCUGAGAGUUAAGCGUGUGAACACGAUUUGGUAAAGGUAGCGGUGAGAGGCCAUGUAGGAGUACAUGGUGGGUUGUCUCACUGGAACCGUCCUUAAGCACUGAGUUCCGUGUAUGUUGUCCAAUGACUAGCUACUACCACACAUUGGAAUGCUUAAGUGCCCUCUCGACUUAUUAGCCAACUUGAUCUCUGUCCAGGAGUCACAAAUAGUUUUUGGUGUUUGUAGGUAGUGUUAGUAGUCUACCAAGUGGCACCCAGCCAGGUGGGCUUGGGACAGACUAGGCACAAGUGGCACGGUGUACCAAGCAUAGAUCCAUCCGGCGAGGUGGGCUUGGGAACCUUGCACAUAUUGUUUGGGGCCAUGAGCGACACCCCGGCCGGAUCUCCUUGCUGAUGGAACCCGAAUAGGCGAUAAACCUGGACUAGAGUCUUGUGUGGUUAGUCAGGUCAUGGCCGACACCCUCGCCAGGCUUCCACUUGAAGGUUGCCGAGAUACAUGAUGUGUAUAUGGUGAUAAAUGGUGAGAGCGUGUGUGAAGAAGUACACCCCUGCAGGGUUAACAUGAUCUAUUCGAAUAGCCGGGUCCGCGGUUAUGGACUUCUUGGAUGCUUACGUGGUACAUAGACAACUUAAAGUGGAUACUCUAAAAUGCUCAAGACAAGUGUGAGUGCUAUGGAUGGCCUUCUCGUCAGGAGACGAGGAUGGAUCCAUAGUAGUGUUUUGAUGUGGUGAUUAGUGGACUCGUGUGCGCUGCCUCAUCUCAAAGAAGUUUCUCAUUGUCGUAGAACAGGAUAGCCACUGAGUCAAAGCUGGCUUGCUGCAACUAAAUCCCACAUUACCUUCUUGAUACAAAUGCAUGUAUGAUAGGAUCUAAUGUAAGUCUUGCUGAGUACCUUUGUACUCACGUUUGCUUUAUUUAUGUUUUGCAGGUGAGACGUCUAUCUCACUAGUAGUACCGUUUGGACUUCGACGAGUAGCUUGUUACCUGAGCUACGAUCUUGUACCUUGGAGGGACUUGUAGAUAGUCAGGUUUCUUAGCCUUUUUCUUUUGUAGUUGUCUGUACUCAGACAUGUAAUGCUUCCGUUGCUUGUAUGCUCUGAAUGAUGGGUCAUGUGACCCCUGUUUGUAUUAAUGCUAUGUGGCUCUUCUGGGCCUUUAUCUAUAUGAGUUGCAUUUUGUUGUGAUGCCAUGUUGUACAACACAUACUUGCAUGUGAUGUGUACGUGUGACGUGUAUUGCUAUGUGUGGGAUCCGACAAUCUAUUGUUUAUCCUUGGCAGCCUCACAUAUGGGGAAAUGUAGUCUAGUGCUUCCUUGAGCCAUAGUAGUCCGCUACAGCCCGGUUCACCGGAGUCCUGCUAGCCCAGCACUACUACUCAGGACACUCGACUGGCCGGCAUGUGUUUCACUUUGUUCCUGUGUCUGUCCCUUCGGGGAAAUGUCACGCGGUGAUAUCCGGAGUCCUGGUAGCCAGUGCUACAGCCCGAAUUCACACGCUGUUGACCGACAUGCUCGAUGUGAAUCAUGGAUGCCUGUCCCCAUAGGUUAGUGCCGCUUUGGGUUCACGACUAGCCAUGUCGGCCCGGGUUCUCUGUCAUAUGGAUGCUAAUGACACAAUCAUAUACGUGAGCCAAUAGGCGCAAACGGUCCCGGGCCAGGGUAAGACGACACCCGUGGGGAAUACCGUGCGUGAGGCCGCAAAGUGAUAUAAGGUGGUACCGGCUAGAUCGAUGUGACUUGGAAUCGGGGUCCCGACACCAUGCCACUACCUAGCUUAGGAAGUAAGCUACCCCAAGCCUAUAUAUAUGGGCACAUAUCCAUCCAUCCACUGGGCGACUCACGCACACUCAUUCGGCCAGAGGCCACGGCCACCAUGCCACACGCUAGCUAGCUCAUUGCUACUGCUCUCAGUCCAAUACAGCUCCAGGAGCACUCUGUACUGCGAUGUACUCCACAUAUAUACAGACAUGCAGGAGUAGGGGUAUUAUCUCUCUCGAGAGCCCCAAACCUGGCUAAAUUAGCGCGUGCUACUCGCAUACCCGUCCCCGGAUAUUCCACAACAGUCUUGCCCUCACCUCAAGCCAUCAUGUGGCAUCUGCCGACUCGCGGUAUCCCCUGCCGACUGACGCGAGAAUACUCCAACUGUUAGCGCCCACCAUGGGGUGAGCUGCCGCUGGAACCGCGGUCCGGGCAAGACCAUCUUCGUCAUCAUCGUCGCGGCGUCGUGCCGUCUCUCCGGUAGCGCUUGGGGGCUUGACAUCGACCCGCCCCCGGAGCGGCCGCGCGGGACGGCGCGUCCUCGCUGUCGGCAUCGCCCUCUUCGUCACCACCACCGCAACAUUGCCGUCUCCCGCGCGUCCGCGUGCCACAUNNNNNNNNNNNNNNNNNNNNNNNNNNNNNNNNNNNNNNNNNNNNNNNNNNNNNNNNNNNNNNNNNNNNNNNNNNNNNNNNNNNNNNNNNNNNNNNNNNNNNNNNNNNNNNNNNNNNNNNNNNNNNNNNNNNNNNNNNNNNNNNNNNNNNNNNNNNNNNNNNNNNNNNNNNNNNNNNNNNNNNNNNNNNNNNNNNNNNNNNNNNNNNNNNNNNNNNNNNNNNNNNNNNNNNNNNNNNNNNNNNNNCCCCACGCCAGCUCCGCCUCGCCUGGCCACCUGGCUCCGAGCACGCGCAGCCGGUCGCCCGCGCACCGCUCCGACCCGUGCACCCCGCCUCUACUACAGCUACCCGAGCCCCCGUCGCUGGCUGCACCUCCCGCUUCGUGUGCUUCGGUUCGGCUGUGCGAGCAAAAAGAAAGAAAAGAAAGAGAUGUCGACUGAGAAAAUUCAGCGAUCGGGUGCUAAAAAAAUGUACGUCUGGCUGCCCACAGCCGGCUCACGAGAAAAAGAAGCGUCCGGCUGCCAACAGCCAGUGAAAAAGAAGUAGUCGGCCAGAGAAAAGACAAAACAUCCGGCUGGCCCGUCCGCCUGCUUCGCUACUCAGACGAUCGGCCGCGACCUGCACUGCCGGCUGUGCCAGGCCGGCUCGACCGCCUCCAGCCCAGCCGCCCGUCCGCCUCGACGCCCGUUCGGUCGGACCCGACCAGCCGGGACCCACUUCGAGCACCGGGAGGCUCGAAGGCUUCACCCAGCGGGUGCGCCAGUGCACUCCGCAAGCGCUGAGACGCGCCGGCUGUCUCCGACGACUUCUGCCUCGCCUACACGAAAACCAAUGUGAGCUCCUCACCCGCAUAUUUUUGCACCGCGCAAACACGGAUAACCUCGAGCAAUGCUCGAGGGGCUAUCUCUGCAUUUUAUUAUAGUUGCACUACUGUUCGCCCCGGCGCCAGCCAGAGCUGGCCCAGGGCUGGCCGCUUGGCCUGAGACGUUCGUUCCCACGGACGGCUUAGUAGCGUGCACGAUACCAAAGGCUCACUCUUAGGUACAGACCGCGGAGCGGCUGUCCGGCUAGCAAGAGCAAACGCUGGAGGCCACCCACAUGAAAAACGUCUCGGGAGAAAAAACGGUCCACGCGACCCGGCCGUUUGCUUUAUGAGUAUCUGCUCGGUCGAAUCUUCUCCCAGAGUCUGAGUAUUGUGCGCUUCACUCCGCGGCCCACUCUCAGCCACAGACCACAGAGCGGUUGUCCAGCUAAUUAAGCGAGAGCACAAGCCAAAGAGCGAAGGGGACAUGAAAAAGGUUGAAGGGGGCUCGAACGAAACCGAGUCGGCACCCUUCGCAUAAAACUUGCAAUGCUAAAAGCAAACAUUUGGUAUAUCUGCGUGGACAAACUUCAUCUUUUGCAUGAUCAUUUCCAGGGGGAACCCCCCCCCCUCCUCGCUCGGAGUCUCGGAGGCUACACCCAGCGGGUGUGCUGGCGUGCCCCCACUAGAAGCAAGCCGCGCCGGCUGCAGCCCGCAGCCGGCUGUCAUCGACAACAUCAGUCGGCGGACUUCGCGUCCACGCCCGACAACAUCAGUCGGCGGACACCGCAUCCGCGCCCGACAACAUCAGUCGGCGAACCCCGCGUCCGUGCCCGACACCACUAGUUGGCGGACGCCGCGUCCGCUCCUGACAGCAUCAGUCGGCGGACUCCGUGUCCGCGCCCAACAACAUCAGUCGGCGGACUCUGCGUCCGUGCCCGACAGCAUCAGUCGGUGGACGCCGCGUUCGCGCCCGACAGCCUCCGUCGGCGGAACCCGCGUCCGCGCCCGACAGCCUAAGUCGGCGGACCCCGCGUCCGCACUCGACAGCACCAGCCGACGGACUUCGUGUCCGCGCCCGUCACCCUCGACGUUACCGUCGGCUUCAUCGUCAACAACAAGACCCUCUGCCCAACUUUCCAAAGUUGCCCGGAGGCUCGGAGGCUACACCCAGCGGGUGCGCUUGUGCGCCCCCACUCGAAACAUGUCGCGCCUGUUGCACGCCCGCCGCCUGCUGCAACCGGCCCCUCGACGCCAUCGUCUACACCAACAACCAUGAAAAGCCUCCACCCAACUUUUUCAAGUUGCCCGGAGGCUCGAAGGCUACACCCAGCGGGUGCGCUUGCGUGCCCCCGCCGGAAGCAAGCCACGCCGGCUGCAGCCCGCAACCGGUCGUCAUCGACAUCUUCUACAUCAACACCCGCUAAAAAACCUCCGCCCAACUUUGCCAAGUUGCCCGGAGGCUCGGAGACUACUGUCGGAGUAAUUGACCACGGGUACUCCGAAGACGGCGAGACAAUAUUUCAAGACAUCGGGACUAGCAAAGCCCCUCAGUCUGACUGCUCAGGCCGCCCCAGAAGGCCCCCUGUCCGACUGCCCGGGCCGACUGCGCCAACCAACCGGCUGCCCAAAGUCAGUCGCUGCAUCAACCCGACACUGACAAGACAGCCGUACCGCGACGUCAUCUACAGUGUACCUUGUCCCUGGGUAUUGAUUUAUAAAAUGCCCCAGGGGACAAGCAUAGCUUAGCUCCCAAGCUACCCAUAGCUUGAGAUGUAAGCUACUCAUUGUAGCUUACAUCUCAAGCCACCCCCAUGCCCACUUGCCCCCCAUGCCACUACCUAGCUUAGGAAGUAAGCUACCCCACAAGCCUAUAUAUAUGGGCACAUAUCCAUCCAUCCACAGAGCGACUCACGCACACACUCAUUCGGCCAGAGGCCACGGCCACCAUGCCACACACUAGUUAGCUAGCUCAUUGCUACUGCUCUCAGUCGAAUACAGCCCCAGGAGCGCUUUGUACUGCGAUGUACUCCACAUAUAUACAGACAUGAGGGAGUAGGGGUAUUAUCUCUCCAGAGAGCCCCGAACGUGGGUAAACUAGCGCGUGCUACUCGCAUACCCAUCCCCGGAUAUUCCACAGCAGUCUUGCCCUCACCUCAAGCCACCCGGUGGCAUCUGUCGACUCGCGGUAUCCCCUGCCGACUGACGCAAGAAUACUCCGACAACUUUGCUAAGGAGACAUUUUCAGAAUAUUAUUCAAAUGCAUACGCAAAAAAAAGAUAGGUCUAAUCAUUUCAGCAAAGCGCUCAAAAUCCCCAUCAUCCUUUUUCUUGGAUGGUUUAGGAGGAAAGGGCAUGGGUUUCUGAACCCAUGGUUCUCUUUCUUUACCAUGUUUUCUAGCAAUGAAGUCUCUCUUAUCAUAACGUUGAUUCUUUGGUUGUGGGUUAUCAAGAUCAACAGCAGGUUCUACCUCCACAUCAUUGUCAUUACUAGGUUGAGCAUUAACAUGAACUUCAUCAUUAACAUUAUCACUAGGUUCAUGUUCAUCACCAGAUUCUGUCUCGGCAUCAGAAAUAGAAAUAUCAUUGGGAUUCUCAGGUGUGUCUAUAACAGGUUCACUAGAAGCAUGCAAAGUCCAACCAGUUUUCUUUUUGUUUUUAUUACUAGGAGGUCUAGGUGCAUCAGUGUUAAUUCUCUGAGAAUCUUGCUCAACUCUCUUAGGAUGGCCCUCGGGAUACAAAGGUUCCUGAUUCAUUUUACCACCUCUAGUCAUAACUCUAACAACAUUAUCAUUGUUCUAACUAUUCAUCUGAUUGAGCAAAUCAUCAUGUGCCUUAAGUACUUGUUCUUCUUGAGUUUUAACCAUGGAAGCAUGCUUACUAAUAAGCUUAAGAUCAUUAACAGUUCUACUCAUAUAAUCACCCAAGCAGUCAAGCAUGUAAGCAUUACGUUUCAAUUGUCUACUAACAUAAGCAUUGAAAUUUAGUUGUUUAACAAUAAAAUUAUCAAACUCAUCCAAGCAUUGACUAGCAGACUUAUUAUGAGGAAUAUCACCUUCAUCAAAUCUAUAGAGAGAAUUUACCUCUACUACCUGUGUCGGGUUAUCAAGACCAUGUAUUUCUUCAAUAGGCGGUAAAUUCUUAACAUCUUCAACUUUAAUACAUUUUUCUUUCAUUGAUUUCUUUGCCUCUUGCAUAUCUCCAAGACUGAGAAAUAGAAUACCUCUUUUCUUCAGAUUUGGCUUAGGAGUUGGUUAAGGAAGUGUCCAAUCAUUACUCAAUAUAUUAUUCCUUAGCAAUUCAGCUUGCUUAACAGUUCGUUCGCUGAAAACACAACCAGCCCAACUAUCUAGGUGGUCCCUAGAAGCAUUGGUUAGUCCAUUAUAAAAGAUAUCAAGUAUUUCAUUUUUCUUGAUAGGAUGAUGAGGCAAAGCAUUAAGUAAUUGGAGAAGCCUCCCCCAAGCUUGUGGGAGACUCUCUUCUUCAAAUUGCAUAAAGUUAAAUAUUUCCUUUAAAGCAGCUUGUUUCUUAUGAGCAUGGAAAUAUUUUUCAGAGAAGAUGUAAAUCAUAUCCUGGGGACUGCGCACACAACUAGGAGCAAGAGAAUUAAACCAUAACUUAGCAUCACCCUUUAACGAGAAAGGAAACAAUUUAAGAAUAUAGUAAUAGCAAAAAAUUUCCUCAUGAGCAAAUAGGGUGGCUAUAUCAUUCAAUUUAGUAAGAUGUGCCACAAUAGUUUCAGAUUCAUAACCAUGGAAAGGAUCAGAUUCAGCCAAGGUAAUUAACUCAGGAUCGAUAGAGAAUUCAUAAUCUUUAUCAGUAACAAAGAUAGGUGAAGUAGCAAACUUAGGAUCAUAUCGCAUUCUAGCAUUCAAAGACUUUUCUUUCCACUUGCAUAAUAAUUUCUUAAGAUCAUCUCUAUCCUUACAAGCAAGAAAGUCCCUAGCUACCUCUCCAUCCAUAACAUAACCCUCAGGCAUAACAUGAAGUUCAUAUCUAGGAGAGCUAGUCUUAUCAGGUGUUUCAAAGUUUCCAGUUUCAAUAUUUCAUCGGUUUCAGAAAUAUCAUCAUCUUCAGCAUAAUCAAUAGUUCUAACUCUAGCAAGAUGUUCAUCAAGUAAUUCACCCAGUGGCACAGUUUUAUCAAGCAAAGUAAUAGCAUCAUAAGCAUCAUUCAUAGUAGAAGUAGCAUCAUCAAUAACAUGCGACAUGUCAGAAUCAAUAGCAGGUGUAGGUGUCGCAAGCUUACUCAAAACAAAAGGUGAAUCAAGUGCAGAGCUAGAUGGCAGUUCCUUACCUCCCCUCAUAGUAGAGGGAUAGAUCUUGGUUCUAGUAUCUUUAAAAUUCCUCAUAGUGACCAACAGAUAUAAAUCCCAAGUGACUCAGAGAAUAGAGCUAUGUUUCCUGGCAACGGCGCCGGAAAAAGGUCUUGAUAACCCACAAGUAUAGGGGAUCACAACAGUUUUUGAGGGUAGAGUAUUCAACCCAAAUUUAUUGAUUUGACACAAGGGGAGCCAAAUAAUAUUCUCAAGUAUUAGCAGUUGAGUUGUCGGUUCAACCACACCUGAAAGACUUAAUAUCUGCACCAAAGUAUUUAGUAGCAAAUUAGUGUGGAAGUAAUGGUAACAGUGGCAAAACUAACAGUAGCAGUUUUGUAGCAAUUGUAACAGUGGCAAUUGCAAAGUAACAUAGCAAAGAUCGAUAUGUGUAAAGCUCGUAGGCAAUGGAUCAAUGAUGGAUAAUUAUGUUGGAUGGCAUUCAUCAUGCAACAGUUAUAACCUAGGGUGACACAGAACUAGCUCCAAUUCAUCAAUAUAAUGUAGGCAUGUAUUCCGAAUAUAGUCAUACAUGCUUAUGGAAAAGAACUUGCAUGACAUUUUUUGUUCUACCCUCCCGUGGCAACGGGUACCUAAUGGAAACUAAGGGAUAUUAAGGCCUCCUUUUAAUAGAGAACCGGACCAAAGCAUUAGCACUUAGUGAAUACAUGAACUCCUCAAACUACGGUAAUCACCGGAAAGAAUCCCAAUUAUUGUCACCUUGGGGCAUGCAGAUCAUAACUCGUAAUAGGUGUCUACAACUUGCAAGAUAGGAUCAAGAACACAAAUAUAUUCAUGAAAACAUAAUAGGUUCAGAUCAUAAAUCAUGGCACUCUGGCCCUAGUGACAAGCAUUAAGCAUAGCAAAGUCAUAGCAACAUCAAUCUCAGAACAUAGUGGAUACUAGGGAUCAAACCCUAACAAAACUAACUCGAUUACAUGAUAAAUCUCAUCCAACCCAUCACCGUCCAGCAAGGCUACGACGGAAUUACUCACGCACGAUGGUGAGCAUCAUGAAAUUGGUGAUGGAGGAAGGUUGGUGAUGAUGAUGGCGAUGGAUUUCGCUCUCUGGAGCCCUGAACAGACUCUAGAUCUGCCCUCCCGAUGAAGAACAGGAGGUGGCGGUGGCUCUGUAUCAUAAAACACGAUGAAUCCUUCUCUCUGAUUUUUUUUUCUCCCCGAACGUGAAUAUAUGGAGUUGGAGUUGAGGUCAGUGGAGGUCCAGGGGACCCACAAGGCAGGGGGCGCGCCCUCCACCCUUGUGGAUAGUCGGUGGGUCCCCUCUGGUUGAUUCUUUCACCAAUAUUUUUAUUUAUUCCAAAAAUAUUCUUUGUGGAGUUUUAGGUCAUUCCGAGAACUUUUAUUUCUGCACAAAAAUAACACCAAGGCAAUUCUGCUGAAAAUAGCGUCAGUCCGGGUUAGUUCCAUUCAAAUCAUGCAAAUUAGAGUCCAAAACAAGGGCAAAAGAGUUUGCAAAAGUAGAUACGAUGGAGACGUAUCACAACCCUACUGCCAAAUACCUUUGCGAUAGCUGCCCAAUAGUUAUAAAUCCGUGGGGUCGGGUCGCCGGGCCCACCCACGAACCCCAACCCCCAUCUUCUCCCAUGUGUCGCGCCGCGCCGCAAGAAUAGAGAGCAACUCCUCUCUCAUCCCCUCCACUCCCCCCUCCCUCUGAUCUUCUUCGUUUCUCCAUCAUUUUUGCGGAUCGAGAUGGCUCUGAAACGAGAAAAGUAAGCUCUCUCAAUCCCUCCAAUUUGUUUUAAUUAAAAAGAUUUCGAUUCGAUGCAUUAUUUGGCACAAGAUAAACCCUAUUUCAUCUACUAGAUUUUGAUUUCUAUUGUUUUUAGGUUUGUUUUGUUAUGAGUAAUAUGAUGUUUGAUGUGGUUGAAUAUGAUAGAACCCUAUUUCAUCUAGUAGAUGGACCCUAGUUCAUGUUUCUAUAUAGUAUCAACAUGAACCCUAGUUCAUGUUCAUAAAUAUAUUUUUUGAAUUGUUCAUUGAUGUUUGAUGUGGUGGAAUAUAAUUGAAUUUGAUAGAACCAUAUUUCAUCUAGUAGAUGAAUCCUAAUUCAUGUUUCUAUAUAGUAUCAACAUGAACCCUAGUUCAUGUUCAUAUUUUUUUUGUUGUUGAAUUGUUCAUUGAUGUUUGAUGUGAUUGAAUAUGAUUGAUGUGGUUGAAUAUGAUUGGUUAAUGUGAUAUAUAUAUAUAUAUAUAUAUAUAUAUAUAUAUAUAUAUAUUGUUGAUUCAAUACGAUUUUUAGUUUGAUUAAAUAUGAUUCAUUCGCAUUGAUAUAGUAACUAGGUUUUUAGUUUGACUAACAUGAUUCAUUUGCAUAUUCCAUUGUUGAUUAUAUCUUUUAUGAUAUAUUUAUUGAUUGAUGUAAGUUGAAUAUGCUAGAAUUGACUAAUAUGAUAUGAUGCAUGUUGGUUGAAUAUGGCAUGAUUCAUUUGCAAAAAAAUCAGGAGGCCCCCCUUGCGCCCACCAUCGGCACUACGUACACCAUGCUUGACCAUGCGUUCGACAACGGUCAUCGCACCCAUUUUAUCGAGAAUGGAGUAGUAAUAACCAUGAUCAAGUUGUUGCACCAAAAAUUGGUUAUUAUGAGAAAUGAAGUCACUGUCUAUUUCCGUUUACAUUUUGGCAGAUGCUACCCCCAUUGCGGAUGAGGGGCCACACCAAGGCCAUUCUAGAUGCAGUAUGGCAAACGCUACACUCCGUACUUCAUGAGAGCACGGCUGCUAGGUUUCGGCCUUUAGUUCAAGUGAAAGUCGCCAAUGCCGUCCACUCAGCUCUCACAACAUUGGUCGACCGGUGCCGCCCCAAGAUGCAUAGUUUCCAUCUCCCAUGUGGUGAGAUGAUGGUGACACUCGAGGACUUCACCAUGAUCACGGCCCUACCGAUCCAGGGACAGGCUCUCACUGGGCGAGUGGACAAAAACAACUUGCAGCAUAGGGUCACCAGCCUCAUUGGCGACUACCCCGCCAUCCGAGAUAACCAAACAUUCGGUGUACCACUCAUGUGGAUCCAGAACAACUAGGCCAUAUGCCUGGAAGAUGCCGAUACGCGGACCGUGGAGCAAUACUCGAGGGCCUACUUGUGGUACCUUCUGACGGAGGUCGUGUUUUUAGACUGCUCGGGGGACACCGCCCUAUGGAUGUAUCUGGACUUCCUGGCCAACUGGGAUGCAGGGUACAGCUGGGGGUCCCCCGGCCUCGCGUACCUAUACCGCUCAGUAAGAGAGAUAGCUCAAUAUUAGUUUGUGGAUUUAUGUAUGUGUUUUGAAUUGUGUCAUCUAAUCUUGAAUUGGUGUUUGUAGAUUGACAACGCAAUGCAGAGGACGGAAGAGAAGUCCGGCAUGUGCGGAUUUGUCUGGACCCUCUCUAUCUGGAUGUGGGAGCGGUUGCCGGUGGGCCAUCCUGAGAAAGAUACCCGACGUCCAUGGACGGAGUAUGGCGAAGAAGGCGACAUGGCUCGAUACCCGACCGCCACGUACGCUUGGGACAAGGUGAAGGUCUACACAGGCAAGUCCAGUGUGUUGUACAAGGUCUUCACCAACGAGCUGGAUAACCUGACAUCUUACGAGGUAUACCAACUAGCUUACCAAUCAUUUUGUACCCACUUUCAUGGUUCCUACCAAUCUUUUUGUAGGUCAACUGGUGGUCGUACCACGACCGACAAUGGGGGUUCGAGCUCAACGCGAUGUGCUACGAGGACAGGCUUGCCUGGCGGUGCAUUGUGCCUAUGAUAUGUGUGUACGCCGUCGAGUGUCACUUAGCACAGCGUGUGGCCACGCAAUUUGGUAUGUUACAAAAUACCCCACCGGCAUGCCCCACCGACACCGGUGGCUUCAACCUUCACUGGUGAGGGCAUUGUUCUCUAUUGCCAUGUUUUUGUUCUGUUUGACGUUAUCAUGAUUAUUUAUGUUCUAUUGUUUCUUAUGCCUUGCCGAAAGAGUAGAAAGAAUUGUCAGUCGAUCACAGACUAGGGGGCACAAGCUCAUGGACCACGUGAAAGUGUGGGACAAGAGGAGGUAUCGCAACGACGGUGAGAGGAGAGCGAUUAACUGGGACGCGUACAAUGAACACAUGAAGUGGUAUGGCGAUGGCGUGAAGUAUCGUGUGCGCCUGAGGCCACAGUGGACGUCAGCGGAUAUCGCAUCAUUGGAGGAGGAUGACUCCGAGGAUGAAGCCUAUCGUGACAGCCUUAGAGAGCUCAAAGGUGAAUUCAGGGAGUAUGCAACCCUGAUAAACAUAGUGGUAAGUUGUGCUCUGUAUUGUUUUGAGCUCUCAACGGUUGGAUGAAAACUGCUUUAGUCAGUGUCAUUGACUUACAAAUGAUGCUUACACAAGCUUCGGAGCUUAACAGAAAAAAAAAAUUAUUGCUCGGACAUGCUGGGUUAUGACCCCGGGACCGUGGAAUCUAACAGCAAGCUAAGGGAAACGGUGAAGGUAACAUCGAACCUCCUAGCCAUAUUAUAGUUUAAUUGUAACCCUAAAGUUGAUCUAUAUUAUGUUCUUGGUUGUUUGUUAUUGCAUAAGUUCAUGACCCGCGUAAGAUAGUGGGCAUGCUUGGGUGCGCUAGUGCGGCUGAUGUCCAUGUUCCUGUUCAUGGAGGGUCGAUGCGUGCCAUCGCUUCAUCGAGUCAUGCCGGCGAAGCUUCAUCGAGCCACGCCAGUGGAGCUUCCUCUAGCCAUGCCGCCUCGUCGUCUCGCAUUGUUGAGGAGGAAGAGGGAGAAGAUGACGAGGAAGAAGAGGAUGAGAAGCAAGCCCAAGGAAGGAGGUGAUGAGGAGGAGUACGACGAUGAUGACGGAUCUCCACCGACUCAUCCAACCCAAGACAAGAGGGGGAGUCAGCCGAAGAAGGAUUGGAAGAGUCCAUCCCCGCUUUAGAAAGAGCAUCCUUAUCGCACGAAGAAGCCGGAUGAAACCCGCUCGAAGAAAAACGAGGAGUGUACCGCCGAGGGAGGGGGAGGAACAAGUGAUAUGGUCGUGUUGAACUCGCUUAGUUAAACUAGUUGUGAACUAGAACUUGUUUGCUAUAUCAAACUACUUGGUGUUGUCGAUUUGCUACCUAUUUACUAUGUUGAACCUAUUUUAUAUGUCGAUCUGCUACCUACUUAUUUGGUGUUGUCGAUUUGCUACCUAUAAUGUGUGAGAUCAUCAUAUUUUGUUUUGCAAACACUAUUUGUUGCUGUGUUGAACUAUCAUUCAUAUUUAUAAUUGAAAUGAUCAAGAUCUUCUAAAAAAUAAGUGACCGAGGAUCCUACCGCAAGGGACUGCGGCGAUAGGUUCUCACAGCCUACCGCAAAAUCUUUGUGAUUUCCCGUUAUAGGGGACCCUACCACCAGACCCCCCCUGGCGGUAAGGUCUAAAACCCUACCGUAAAAAAUCAUCAACUUUCUGUUACAAAACCCUAGCGCACACGCAAGGCUUAGCACACCUUACCGCCGCAAAGGGUGGCGGUAGCUUUAGCUACCCUACCACCGUCCACCCUGGCGGUAGUGCCGUUAAGCAACGUCAGCCCCGAUGCCCCGAUACAAUUGGUUGACAGCGGCUGCCAUUAACUUACCGCACAGGGCCUCGCGGUAGGCAAGGGUCAGAUCCGACUAAACUUCGCCAAAAGGGUCCAAACACAGAAAUUUUGCCACCUAGCCCAGCUCUGCAUGCAUGUCCCCAAAACUCCCAACACAAUCAUGAUUUUAUAGGGUCAACAAUUCAAGGAACUCUCCAAGUUUACCAAACAAAUGAAAAACUCCUGCGCAUUAAAGUCGCUUUAAAGCAUGUGAACGUAUACAAAAAAUCAUGAAUAGCGUAGAACACACAAAUGAUUUUUUUUAAUAUUUUCUCAAAUAUAAUUGAGCAGGACAAAUUACAAAAACAUGCCGAUAGACAUUGCUACAUAAAAUUCUGACCAACUCAACUUCUACUUACGCAUCAGCAGUCCGGCACAAUUAGGGAGGCAGCAAUCAACCAUCUGUCAAGGUUAUACUGGCUACAAACUAAGCAGACACGCGCAUUAACUACAACAAGCCAACCUCAAACCCCAUUCGAACUCAGAGCAAGCGCUACCGAUCUUUCACCAUAGCCCUGGCCCAUCAUGCAUCAUGAUGCAAUCACGUGAUCUUAGCGGCAGCGA
rnacentral:lncRNA from 1 species